UCGGGGAUCGUCUAACGGUAGGACCGCAGACUCUGGAUCUGCUUGUCGGGGUUCGAAUCCCUGUCCCCGAG
rnacentral:tRNA from 1 species